rnacentral:lncRNA from 1 species
UUAUUAGAUUCUAUAUUUAAACUCAUCUCAGGAAAGUGUGUCACAUGUUACAAAAUUUUAUUCUAUUUUUUGUAAUUUUCCUUUUUCUAUCUCAAAACGGUAAAUUAAAAAUUAUUUUAUAUAAAUGAAUUUUUUUUAGGUGACCUCCUGUUUAAUUUUGUCCAUGGGACAAACAUAACGUAACACUUCAAUGUAGUUAAGAGAUAUUUUACUAAGUUUUAUAACAACUAUUUAAUUUAUGUAGUUAAGAGAUAUUUUACUAAAUCUUAUAACAACUAUUUAAUUUGUAUAAAGAAACCGUGUGCUUUAUACAUUAUAAAUUCAUCAAAUCCUUUUCUAUUUUUUUCAUGCAAAAGGGAAAAAUAUGGCUAAAGUCACUAAGUUUGUUUAUAUUACGAUCCACUUUCUUUCACUAUUUUUCAUUGCAAUGAACAUUGUCGCAAUUCCUGAAUGUCAUGCAGACUCUCAUUGAGUAGCAAAAAUUGACUAUGUGCUUCCUCUUAAACCGCAAUGUAGGAAUUACACGUGUGUUUGUUAAGAUUCAAAUAGAUAUCGCUGAUGUUAAAAUGUUCCAUGUGUAGGAAUUACACAUGUGUUUGUUAUAAUUCAAUUAAAUAUCGCAGAUGAUAAAAUGUUCUAUGACAUGUCAUUUAACCAAUGUUUUGGCAUUCAAUAAUUGAAUUCGGUUUGUAUUUAUUUCCCUUUAAUAAUUUCACAGAUUUUAUGGUCUUUGAUGAUGGUGAUUAAAAUAAACAUUGCGCGCUAAAUAAUAUUAUUUAAAUUAUCUUCUUUGUCUUCAUUUUAUAAUGAUAUAUUUACUGUUACUUUAGAUAAUUGUAGGAUACAAUGAAAUACUUAAGUUAAAUAAAUAAUAAAUUUAACAACUUUUUAGUAUAGUUUAAUAUUAUCAAAACUGAUUCAAUACAUGGUACAUAAACGAUAUAAGCCCUAAAAAAUUACAUAAAUGAUAUAUAUAAACAAUGUAACCUACAAUUUUUUCAAAUAGCAAAUAUUUAUUUAUUUUUCAUUUAUUUUAAAAUAGUUCAUAAGGCUUUA